CUGUUAUGUGAGUCAAUAGGAAAAUGAGUUCAGUGUGGAACUGGCCCAGGAUAGAAAAGCCACAAUGACUCCAUUAUUGUCUACUAAAGAACAGUAAGAAGAUAUUGGAUCCCAUCUACCUGCUGAAAUCUCCCAAGGUGAAAAAUGAGACUAUUCUUUUCUGAAACAUCUGGAUACUUUAAUUUAAAAGACUAAAGAGGAAUAAGAAACAGAGCCUGUCCUCAAGAGGUGGAAAUGAAGCAACCAGAGAAAUGAGCACAGCAAGAGAUUUAAAAUAAAAUUCGACUGUAUUGGAGGCCCCUGAAGUGUCAUGGCCCUGCUCACUGUGCCUAGUGGAUCAGUCCACAGAAAAGUUAAAUUCUGCUUUCUGCGGCACCAAGUGCACCCUGCUGGGCUCAAGUAAGUUCGGUGAGGUUUUAACCGUGAGGAGCCAUUUGCUUCUGCUGACAAGUUGUGUCCUGCGCUUCAGCCACCUGCUCCGCUCCUGCAACCUGCUCUGCUCCUGCACCUCGGCCCUGCAUCAUUGCGCGCACGAAGCUGGAAAGACACCGGCCCUAGCACGCGGCUCCUGAUGGGCUCCUCUGUCCUGCGGGCCCGGUGCCCCAGGUGUGGAAGGCUCACCCUCACUGUAACCUCGACGCCAUCGGAGCACUGUGUCCGCUAAUGACAGCCGACUCCAGAGCUCCGGCGCUCAGGUAAGCGAGAGCGACCCCUGCCUUGGAGCCGGCCAGCAGGACGCCCCUGUCGAC
ensembl:lncRNA